GGCUAUGGUUACUUUUGGGCAUUUGCUCCUGCCGAAGUGUGAAGCCGACGACUAGGUGCCUCUUUUCCCCGGGCGUGGCCCCCAGUGGGCGUGCCCCUGCCUAGGCGCUAUUGCGGGCUUUUGGCUGCUUUCAGGACAGGGACCCGUUGGGAUAACAGACCCCGCUGCGCCAUCUCAAAGCAACUACCCCUCUGCCGCGGCGCCAUCCACCGGAAACGGACCCAACCUCACGAGCACUAAUACUCUGAGUCGGCCACUCGCGGUCUACAGAUUCGUGUUCUUCAUAAGCUAAGCCUGACCCGUAGCUUCUAAUCCAGCCUGGUCAAACAACAGCGGCGGCGCAUCCCUUUCCCGCUAUUUUAAAACUGGGUCCGGUCUCUCCCAUGCCUUUGAUAUAACAGAACUUGCGGCGGCUGGCUGUGCCUACAGUCUGACCGCGCGGAGCAAUAGCUGGCGUCUGUUACUCACCGCAUCGGCCCCCUCCGGGUAACUAGGUGCUCCGCCAUUCUGGUGUCCUCCUUCGUCCCGCUGUUGGAGGAUGUCCUCCAAGCCUUCUUGGCCUCCGCCGCGCGAUUGCUCGCGC
rnacentral:lncRNA from 1 species